rnacentral:rRNA from 1 species
UACGAAGGGGCUAGCGUUGCUCGGAAUCACUGGGCGUAAAGGGUGCGUAGGCGGGUCUUUAAGUCAGGGGUGAAAUCCUGGAGCUCAACUCCAGAACUGCCUUUGAUACUGAGGAUCUUGAGUUCGGGAGAGGUGAGUGGAACUGCGAGUGUAGAGGUGAAAUUCGUAGAUAUUCGCAAGAACACCAGUGGCGAAGGCGGCUCACUGGCCUGAUACUGACGCUGAGGCACGAAAGCGUGGGGAGCAAACAGG